rnacentral:rRNA from 1 species
UGGGGAAUAUUGCACAAUGGGCGCAAGCCUGAUGCAGCCAUGCCGCGUGUGUGAAGAAGGCCUUCGGGUUGUAAAGCACUUUCAGCGAGGAGGAAGGUGGUGAGCUUAAUACGCUCAUCAAUUGACGUUACUCGCAGAAGAAGCACCGGUAACUCCGUGCCAGCAGCCGCGGUAAUACGGAGGGUGCAAGCGUUAAUCGGAAUUACUGGGCGUAAAGCGCACGCAGGCGGUUUGUUAAGUCAGAUGUGAAAUCCCCGGGCUCAACCUGGGAACUGCAUUUGAAACUGGCAAGCUAGAGUCUCGUAGAGGGGGGUAGAAUUCCAGGUGUAGCGGUGAAAUGCGUAGAGAUCUGGAGGAAUACCGGUGGCGAAGGCGGCCCCCUGGACGAAGACUGACGCUCAGGUGCGAAAGCGUGGGGAGCAAAACAGGAUUAGAUACCCUGGUAGUCCACGCUGUAAAACGAUGUCGAUUUUGGAGGUUGUGCCCUUGAGGCGUGGCUUCCGGAGCUAACGCGUUAAAUCGACCGCCUGGGGAGUACGGCCGCAAGGUUAAAACUUAAAUGAAUUGACGGGGUCAUAGCUGUUUCCU